rnacentral:rRNA from 1 species
AGAGUUUGAUCAUGGCUCAGGAUAAACGCUGGCGGCGUGCCUAACACAUGCAAGUCGAACGCUCUCUUCUUUCGGGAAGAGGGAGUGGCGGACGGGUGAGUAACACGUGGGCCACCUACCCCCAGGUGAGGAAUACCGGCGAGAAAUCGCCGACAACACCGCAUACGCUUGGCACCCGCCAAGCAAAGUUCCGCUUCGGUGGGACGCCUGAGGAUGGGCCUGCGGCCGAUUAGCUAGUUGGUGAGGUAACGGCCCACCAAGGCGACGAUCGGUAGCUGGUCUGAGAGGAUGAUCAGCCACACUGGGAUUGAGAACGGCCCAGACUCCUACGGGGGGCAGCAGUGAGGAAUUUUCGGCAAUGGGGGCAACCCUGACCGAGCAACGCCGCGUGCAGGAGGACGGCCUUCGGGUUGUAAACUGCUUUUCUUGGGGACGAGCAAGGACGGUACCCAAGCAAUAAGCCCCGGCUAACUACGUGCCAGCAGCCGCGGUAAUACGUAGGGGGCAAGCGUUGUCCGGAGUUACUGGGCGUAAAGCGCACGCAGGCGGUCGGCUGCGUAGGUGGUGACAGUCCUCGGCUUACCUGAGGAAGCGCUGCCUAAACGGGUCGACUUGAGGGCCAGAGAGGGACACGGAACUCCGGGUGGAGCGGUGAAAUGCGUAGAGAUCCGGAAGAACACCAAAGGCGAAGGCAGUGUCCUGGCUGGCUCCUGACGCUCAGGUGCGAAAGCUAGGGGAGCAAACAGGAUUAGAUACCCUAGUAGUCC